rnacentral:misc_RNA from 1 species
GUUCCUACUCUGGUGGGCAAGAAGAAACGACACAACAUUGAAGGGGACUGUUGUAACACUGACCUUUGCAAUCAGCAUGAACCCCAUCACGGUCAUAACAAAAAAAGACAAUUUGACCUCGUUUUAGAUACUACUACAACACUUCCUGAUACAACAACAAUGGUGACAACAACACAAACAAUGCCACCAGCAACAGAAACAAUGCCAUCAGCAGCACAAUCAGUACCACAAAAACAAACAACAGAGCUAGAAACAUCAACCAUGCCACCAGCAACACAAACAAUGCCGACAACAACACAAACAAUGCCGACAACAGCACAAACAGUGCCGACAACAACACAAACAAUGCCUCCAGCAACACAGACAGUAACAACAACAACAAUGUCAACAACAGCACAAUUACCAGUUUGCGCAGAUAUUGACACAUUAGCUUGUCAGCGGCUCGCAGUGCUUAUGAAGGACAUGUGUCACGACAGCUGCCUCGUGAAGUCCUGUCCUGCAACAUGUGGGAAGUGCUCUGAAUGCUACAGCUGUCCAUUUGUACAUAUGCCAAAUCAGUGUUUUACAAAAACAAUGUGUGAUCCAGGGGAGAAAUGCUACGUUCUUGAAGAAAUAAUGGAUGACGGAACACAUGGAUAUAGAGUAGGGUGUCUCCAAGAACAAGUAUGUACGCGUUUCAAAAAUCAAGCUCACACAAUUUUCGGGCGGAGAAGCGACCACUUGCUGCUGACCAUGGAUGGAAACUGUUGUGACGGUGACCUAUGUAAUCACCAGCCUCUCAUCCACACCACCACACCAACCACAACCACCACAACCACCACCCACGCACCGAUCACAAAGCCAACAACCACCAAAACCACUACGCAUGCACAUACACACCAUCAUACAGUUCCCCCAACGACAGCCUUUAAAGAUGGAUGUUCGUACAUAAGUGGCCACCACUGUCCCUUAGGAUUUGAUCUUGUUAAUGGCAAGUGUGUAGCAUUAACAAAUCGUCCCAUGACAUACGUUGAAGCACAGCAUUAUUGCAGAUCGCAUUGUUCCCGUCUUAUGGAUAAUAUUUCCGAUCGUGACAUAAGUCAUUUAAAUACAUACGUGCAGUAUGCUCUUUAUGAUGUCAAUGUUGUGCAUUUGGUGAGGUUAGGGGCUCACGCUACACGCCAUGGUCACUUUGUGUGGGACUCAACUAACACUGAGAUACGCGAUAUUACGCAUUCUAAUAUUGGGAAUUGCGUAGUCUUAACACCAGAAGCACACCACCAUCAUACACAGCUGCAGGACGAUUCUUGUAAUGUACGCCGUUAUUCUAUCUGUCAGGCGGUCAAACAUUAACUUUCACGUCAAAUAAACAUCAAUGUUUUA